UGCUACAGGUGGCGUUAUAGGAUGCUUUUU
rnacentral:piRNA from 1 species